UACGUAGGUGGCAAGCGUUGUCCGGAUUUACUGGGCGUAAAGAGCGCGCAGGCGGCUGGUCAAGUCCGAUGUGAAAGCUCCCGGCUUAACUGGGAAACGGCAUCGGAAACUGAUCGGCUUGAAGGUGGGAGAGGGUAGUGGAAUUCCCGGUGUAGUGGUGAAAUGCGUAGAUAUCAGGAGGAACACCGGUGGCGAAGGCGGGUCUCUGGGCCGAUACUGACGCUGAGGAGCGAAAGCGUGGGGAGCGAACAGG
rnacentral:rRNA from 1 species